CAUUACAGAUGUUUCUGCUUUAACUGAGUCUUUGACAAACACAAAAGCACUGCAGUUUCUAAAAGAGCUUGAUCUGAGCAACAAUAUAAUUGGAGACUCAAAGCAGCUACUCACUGAUGUGCUACAAGACUCCAACUGUGAACUGAGACUAGAGAGUGAGGAUUGGGUUCCUGGGUGAAUGGUAUAAAUGGGUGGAAGAGGAGCAGUAAUGAUCAGGUUCUUCGGCUUGAAAGUAAACAUCUGCUAUUAAGCGCAUACCAGCUUGAGUACCAAGGUGUGCUGGAAUGUUUUCACCAGACUCUUAAGAUCAUGUUGUGAACAAUCUGUGAGCAAACAAGCUGAGACUGGGAUGCCGAUGCUAAUGUUUACCAUACAGGAACCGCAAACCUCUGGACCUGCUGAUCCGGUAUUCUUUCACACCAUGUGUGGUCCCCUUAAAAUGUUUAGAAAAAAUUUAGAAGGAAAUAAUUCAUUUCCAUGUUUGAGAGCAAUUGCACCAUUCCUGCAAAACUGCUAAGAAAAACUUGAUGAUGACUCUAGCAAUAAUGGAGAAGAAAAAAAUUAAAUAGAAUAUGUAUUGCAGUGUCCAGGGAAAUCAUUCAGUUCUCAUUUAACUAUCAAUCUCUGGUUCUCUGUUACAAGUCAGAUUAUCAGGACCUUAUGAAGUUAAAGCUUAGUUAAGUUUAGGAUGAAUUGUGAUCGUAAAAAGAAAACUUGUAUCAGUCAUGUAAAUAUGCUGUCUGGUUGUUCGGUGACAAAAUAUAAAAUACAUAGUUUCAAUAAACAUUUAAUUAAUACGUUCAACAAUUUAUGACUAUUAUUCUACAGCAUGGAACUGAAGAAAAAAGCAUGGUUUGAUUAUGGUUAGUUAUUUGAGCUCUCAUUUUCACCAUUAGGUUCCCAAACCAAGUGAAAAUACCAUAAUGUAAAUCUCACUCUAUUGUGGAUAGUCUAUCACAGGGGUGUCCAAACUCAGUCCUGGAGAGCCGGUGUCCUACAGAGUUUAGCUCCAACACACCUGAAUAAGCUAAUUAAGGUCUCCAGAUCACUAGGACAGGUAAGGACAGGUGAGUUUGAUCGAGGUUGGAGCUAAACUCUGCAAGAACAUAGAGCUGAGAACCAUUUCAUCACAAAUUGAUUUGAUUGCAGACUGACAAAUAAAUUAGUUUAAAGAGUGAACAAAAAUGGUGAGCUUACACAAACCUGUGCUACAUACCGCAAUAUCAGACAGUCCUUGAUACAUUUCACUUGUUGUGUCCUGUUUGAUAAAACAGAACAAUAACAAUACAUCAAAAAAGUCUACUUAAGCAUGUAAAGAAGAAGCAAGAGUAAAUUUAUAAUAAUGUCAGCUAAAUUAAAUGACUCCCAAUGAUUCAUUUUUAUAUUGUGCAGUGGUCAGCACUCAUCAGUGUCAAAAUGUUUGAAAUGGACAAUCAAAUGUUACUGUUCAAAGAAGUCAAGGCCACGCAGGAAAAUAAUUCCAGCACGUGCAUUUUAAUGCUAAUGUGAGGUAAGAUGUAAGCAGCUGAACAUAACGAGGCAUAAUACAGAAAUAUUUGUCAAUUGUUUAAGAUAGAAAUGUUAAAUAGUUUGGCCAUCAGUCUGGUUUUAAAAAAUCAUGCCCGUAUACUAGUAUAUCUUUGAGCUGGAUGCUUAUUUGUCCACCUUUUAAGAACAUCACUAUUUUAAACUCUACCCAAUGGUAUCUAAUAAAUAAAUAAAGGAGUUAAUGCUCUC